rnacentral:rRNA from 1 species
UCUUGCACAAUGGGGGAAACCCUGACGCAGCGACGCCGCGUGGGCGAAGAAGUAUUUCGGUAUGUAAAGCUCUAUCAGCAGGGAAGAAAGAAAUGACGGUACCUGAGUAAGAAGCCCCGGCUAACUACGUGCCAGCAGCCGCGGUAAUACGUAGGGGGCAAGCGUUAUCCGGAAUUACUGGGUGUAAAGGGAGCGUAGACGGUGAUGUAAGUCUGGAGUGAAAGGCGGGGGCCCAACCCCCGGACUGCUCUGGAAACUAUGUGACUGGAGUGCAGGAGAGGUGAGCGGAAUUCCUAGUGUAGCGGUGAAAUGCGUAGAUAUUAGGAGGAACACCAGUGGCGAAGGCGGCUUACUGGACAAUAACUGACGCUGAGGCUCGAAAGCGUGGGGAGCAAACAGG